rnacentral:rRNA from 1 species
AUUGAACGCUGGCGGCAGGCCUAACACAUGCAAGUCGAACGAGUGGCGGACGGGUGAGUAAUGUCUGGGAAACUGCCUGAUGGAGGGGGAUCACUACUGGAAAAGGUAGCUAAUACCGCCUACCAUAGGCUGUAGCAAGAUGGGAUUAGCUGGUAGGUGGGGUAAAGGCUCACCUAGGCGACGAUCACUAGCUGGGUUGAGAGGAUGACCAGCCACACUGGAACUGAGACACGGUCCAGACUCCUACGGGAGGCAGCAGUGGGGAAGAUUGCACAAUGGGCGCAAGCCUGAUGCAGCCAUGCCGCGUGUAUGAAGAAGGCCUUCGGGUUGUAAAGUACUUUCAGCGGGGAGGCGUUACCCGCAGAAGAAGCACCGGCUAACUACGUGCCAGCAGCCGCGGUAAUAC